GUAGCUUAUUCGACUAUGAGAACAUCUGUUUAACAAAAUUCUAUAAAUAACAUGUUAUGACUACAGGGGAUAGACUUUGAGGAUUCUUCAAAGUGGUGUUUGGCGGAUUGCAAGAGAGGGGACAUCUUGUUACAAGUCUUGCUGUGUUGUAUGCCUAUAUUUUUGUUAGAGGGCUAGAGAGGAGAUUUAUAUUUUUGACGUGGAGGUCUUUUAUAAAUUCCUUGGUGUAAAAAGCUUGACCAUUACAGUGCAUUUGCUUCCUGGGUUGGAAGGACACUGGAUGUAGGCAUUGUUGGUCGAACAAGUAUAAAAACAAGUGUUAGAUUUCUUUAUCCCAG
rnacentral:lncRNA from 1 species